CAAUAUAUUUGGAUAUUAAAGCAUUAGCUUGAAUAAUAAACUAUAUCAAAUUUUGUGAGGAUAGCUCAUCUAAUAAAAAAGUUUUCGAUGCAAGAACAAGACUUUGAAAGUUAAGUUUGUAUGGCUGUUCUAAUGGAUCUCGGCGGUUUCGACAAAUGAGCAGCUCCUUGAGCGGAAAAGGGCGUGUGCAAAUUUUCAAAUCAAUAUUUCAAAAACUAACAAACUAGUACGCGUUUAUACAAACUGUUGGAUAAACAGUGCUAUCGCCAUGGUGAUCAUUUAUAUAUUUAUUAUAUAUGUAUGCAUUUGAUAGGAUCGGCGACGUUAACUUUUGGAUGUUCUAAACUUCGUGGCAACUUAAUAUACAAAACAAAUACUGGCAUAAUUUUAAACAAACGCAACUACAAAAAAAGGAAAAAUAAAACAGAAAAGGCAAAAUAAAAAUAAAAUAAAAAACAGUUAUCUGCACAUAUCGUGUAGCUCAUUGCACUCAGCUGAUUGUUGAAGCAUUAGCACAAUAAUGAAUAUAGUUUUUGUAGCAGUUUGCCUUAUGUGCACUAUUUUAUCGACGAGUAAUGCCUGUAGCAUGGUAGAGCGCCCUAAGGCAACUUGUGUGACGUGCACGAAAAUGCUAAUGUAUCGUAUGUAAUUUAGAUAAACAUGAGACGUUUUUCCAAAAUCUCCGCGCAAUGCAAAAGGGGAGAAAUGAUUAAAUACACUUUUCUUACAAUCUUUCCUGUAAUUAGUGGUGGAACGAACGUUUUGCAAUAAUGUUUUAUUAUGUUAUUAUUAGCUGCUUAUUGUAUGCGUGCACAAAUAUAAGCUGGCAACAGAUUUUGACUUUUCCUUAUUUAUCUCCGUAAAGUUGUAAGUUAUCUGAAGCCAGGCAGCAUUAACGACACGAUUGCUUGCGAGCAAGAAAAUUAUUUACAGAUGUGCUCAGAAUAAAAAUUACUUUAACGAUCAUAUAUCAUAAACUAAUUGUUUUCAUUGUUGAUUUGAAGUAAAAAUUAAUUCGUUUAUAAAUUUUUUCAGAUUUUUAGACUUAUUUGAUCUCUAUGGAUGCGUAAAGCUUAAACACAUUUAAAAGGCUAUAAUUUAAAGAACCCCACACUUUUCAUACAAAUUCGUUUGCGCUUCGACAUAACACUGGAGUUAAUGUUUUAUAAUUAUAUGCCGUUCAAUAAAAAAUGUUGAACAUAUUUUUCAUGUGGAAAAUUAAAUAUAAAAUCUAAUAAAUAAAAAAUUGUGAUUCCAA
rnacentral:lncRNA from 1 species